AAACAAAAUUAAAUAUUAGUUGAAGAGGAAAUCGGCUAUAGUCUAUUUAACAGACUCGUUUCAUUAACUUAAUGAGAUUAACAUGCAGCUGUAAGUUGAAAUCUUAAAGUUGAUACAAACGAAGUCAUAAUUUUUCAAUAUUUCUCGUGAGAAUUAAAUUCAUAAAACAUGUUGGACGGGAGGAAAUUUUCCUGUUUCAAACUUUAGAAAAGUCAAACAUCUUCUAAUCAACAAUAUAUAUUAUUAAACUUAAAUAAAUUGAAUUCCAAUAUUGAAUAUUUAUUAUCAAAGAUGUCCACUUGUAGGUGUUAAUUUUUCUUUAGUCCAUUCAUGUAAAGAUAUCAGAUUUUAUUUCGCUUCGUUUUAAAUUUGAAUCUCAUCAAUGUAAUCAUUGACAAAACACAUUGAAAGUUGAAGAAGUUUCGUAAAAAUCA